GAUGAACGCUGGCGGCGUGCCUAAUACAUGCAAGUCGAGCGAACAGAUGAGGAGCUUGCUCCUCUGACGUUAGCGGCGGACGGGUGAGUAACACGUGGAUAACCUACCUAUAAGACUGGGAUAACUUCGGGAAACCGGAGCUAAUACCGGAUCAUAUAUUGAACCGCAUGGUUCAAUAGUUAUAGACGGUUUUGCUGUCACUAAUAGAUGGUUCCGCGCCGCAUUAGCUAGUUGGUAAGGUAACGGCUUACCAAGGCGACGAUGCGUAGCCGACCUGAGAGGGUGAUCGGCCACACUGGAACUGAGACACGGUCCAGACUCCUACGGGAGGCAGCAGUAGGGAAUCUUCCGCAAUGGGCGAAAGCCUGACGGAGCAACGCCGCGUGAGUGAUGAAGGUCUUCGGAUCGUAAAACUCUGUUAUUAGGGAAGAACAAAUGUGUAAGUAACUAUGCCCGUCUUGACGGUACCUAAUCAGAAAGCCACGGCUAACUACGUG
rnacentral:rRNA from 1 species